rnacentral:rRNA from 1 species
GACAGAGGUCCCCGAGCGUUAAGGCUGGAAUCACUAGGGCUUAAAGCGUGUGUAGGCGGAUUUGUAAGUACCGUUGUGAAAAUCCCACGGCUCAACCGUGGAACUGCUUGGUAUACUGGCUUAUCGUUGAGCCACCUAGGGGCGAACCGGAACAAACGGUGGAGCGGUGAAAUGCGUAGAUAUCGUUUCGGAAGCGCCAAUGGUGAAAACAGGUUGCUGGAAAGUGUGCUGACGCUGAGACACGAAAGCCAGGGGAGCAAACGGG